UGCGAGUCGACACAGCAAUGUGUGGCAUACGGCUCAGUAACACGUAGUCAACAUGCCCAGGGGACGUGGAUAACCUCGGGAAACUGAGGAUAAACCGCGAUAGGUCACUACUUCUGGAAUGGGUAAUGACCCAAACCUAUAUGGCCCCUGGAUUGGACUGCGGCCGAUCAGGCUGUUGGUGAGGUAAUGGCCCACCAAACCUGUAACCGGUACGGGCUCUGAGAGGAGGAGCCCGGAGAUGGGCACUGAGACAAGGGCCCAGGCCCUAUGGGGCGCAGCAGGCGCGAAACCUCUGCAAUAGGCGAAAGCUUGACAGGGUUACUCUGAGUGAUUUCCGUUAAGGAGAUCUUUUGGCACCUCUAAAAAUGGUGCAGAAUAAGGGGUGGGCAAGUCUGGUGUCAGCCGCCGCGGUAAUACCAGCACCCCGAGUGGUCGGGACGUUUAUUGGGCCUAAAGCAUCCGUAGCCGGUUCUACAAGUCUUCCGUUAAAUCCACCUGCUCAACAGAUGGGCUGCGGAAGAUACUAUGGAGCUAGGAGGCGGGAGAGGCAAGCGGUACUCGAUGGGUAGGGGUAAAAUCCGUUGAUCCAUUGAAGACCACCAGUGGCGAAGGCGGCUUGCCAGAACGCGCUCGACGGUGAGGGAUGAAAGCUGGGGGAGCAAACCGGAUUAGAUACCCGGGUAGUCCCAGCUGUAAACGAUGCAGACUCGGUGAUGGGCUGGCCUUGUGCCAACCCAGUGCCGCAGGGAAGCCGUUAAGUCUGCCGCCUGGGGAGUACGGUCGCAAGACUGAAACUUAAAGGAAUUGGCGGGGA
rnacentral:rRNA from 1 species